UAAUACGUAGGGUGCAAGCGUUGUCCGGAUUUAUUGGGCGUAAAGAGCUCGUAGGCGGUUUGUCGCGUCGGAUGUGAAAACCCAAUGGCUUAACCUUGGGCCUGCAUUCGAUACGGGCAAACUAGAGUGUGGUAGGGGAGACUGGAACUCCUGGUGUAGCGGUGGAAUGCGCAGAUAUCAGGAAGAACACCGAUGGCGAAGGCAGGUCUCUGGGCCAUAACUGACGCUGAGGAGCGAAAGCGUGGGGAGCGAACAGGAUUAGAUACCCUGGUAGUCCACGCCGUAAACGGUGGGCGCUAGGUGUGGGGAUUGUUUCCACGAUCUCCGUGCCGUAGCUAACGCAUUAAGCGCCCCGCCUGGGGAGUACGGCCGCAAGGCUAAAACUCAAAUGAAUUGACGG
rnacentral:rRNA from 1 species